rnacentral:rRNA from 1 species
AACGUAGGAGACGAGCGUUAUCCGGAUUUACUGGGCGUAAAGAGCGUGUAGGAGGCAAUACAAGUUGGAUGUGAAAGCUCCCGGCUUAACUGGGAGAGGUCGUUCAAGACUGUAUAGCUAGAGGAAGGCAGAGGUAGAUGGAACUCCGGGAGUAGUGGUGAAAUGCGUAGAUAUCCGGAAGAACACCAGAGGCGAAAGCGAUCUACUGGGCCUUUACUGACACUGAGACGCGAAAGCCAGGGUAGCAAACGGG